UACGUAGGUGACAAGCGUUGUCCGGAUUUACUGGGCGUAAAGAGCGCGCAGGCGGUCGUUCAAGUCGAGUGUGAAAGCCCCGGCUCAACUGGGGAGGGUCAUUCGAUACUGAUCGACUCGAAGGCAGGAGAGGGAAGUGGAAUUCCCGGUGUAGUGGUGAAAUGCGUAGAUAUCUGGAGGAACACCGGUGGCGAAGGCGGCGUCCUGGACCAACACUGACACUGAUGAGCGAAAGCCAGGGAGCAAACGGG
rnacentral:rRNA from 1 species